CUUGUGUAUACUCAUUUUGAAGAAUCCUGUGAUUGAUACUCUAAUGGAUAAUAUGGCCAUACUGGUUUAAUUUUGUAUUUUGUUUUGGAUAUCUCAAUUAAAUUCUUUCUUUACGCAUAUAAUGUGUUGGUGAAGUGGGCUAUAAAGCCUUUGGGUUAUUUAGAGGAUGAUUGUUUAAUAGGUGGUUUUGUUGGCAGGUCAGCUUAAAAUACACUCUAUAUAUGGAUUUAGACACAAACACAAAGUAAAGAAGAAUAAAAUAACACUCGAGGGUAGCUUAAUUGGUUGGUUACUAUCUCCCUCCCCCCACCCUUUCCCUCUACUGAUACUGUUCAUGUCAGUAUCGUGCUGACACAAGGGUUGAAAAUCCUGCCUCUUCAACAAAAAGCUUUCCUAGUUUACCCUUCUACAGCAGUGAUGAAAAAAGCAGCCCAAAAAGUUUCCCCCCCUCUCUUAUUUCACUUCCCUCUCUCUCCCCUUUCACUUCCCUCCGAACCCAGCCCAAGGAGCAGACAAAAAAUUGGAACUCACUCUCCCUCUACGGUACAACGCCUGGAGACGCCCAAACUCGUUUUUUCUUCGAUCUUCCACAGCGUUGAAGAAAAUCCACACUUCCCUCAACAAACCGAACCCCCACUUCAGCGCAAAAAGCAACCCCCCCCCUCUCUCUCUCUCUCUCUCUCUCUCUCUGUUACCCUUUUUCUUCAAGCAUCGAUCAAGAACAGCUGCGGGUUCUGGAGUGGGUCCAGUGAGGGACUCCCACAACACAACACUUUGACAAACGUAAAUUGAACCUUCCAAGCCUCUAGAUAACUGCACACACUCAGACGAGAGAGAUCUAGAGAGAGAAAGGAAGAGAGAAAGAGAGAGUCUGAGAUCGAGAGAGACAAAGAGAUGAUCGAGGGAGAGAGACAGAGAUUCGCCGAGAGGCUGAGAAAGAAGGUGUCGAAGAAUUUGCAGCCCUCUGUCUUUCUCUCAGUGUUUCUCGAUUGAUCCACAAUGGGAAACCGGUCUGUGAGUCCCUCAUCAUCGUUCAGUACAUAGACGAGGUCUGGAACUACAGCUCUCCGUUGCUGCCCGCUGAUCCUUACCAAGAGAGCUCGAGCCAGGUUUUGGGCUGAUUUCAUUCAUGCGAAGGGGCAACUUUAUGCAAGUGACUGAACAGAGGAUUUGGGACACUACUGGUGCGAUCACUGGCUUUCUUCAUCGAGUACAUUGCAAAAGAAUCUGGCUAGGAGCUGCAGCUACAUACAUGAGGUUCUUUCCCUCGAUAAUGAAGAACUAUGACUACGGGCAAGUCUUUCGAGAACAGGUGUACAUCAAGAAACUCCAGAAGAGCUUCGUCCAAGUCAACAGAAGGAAGUGCAAGAAGCUUCAAAACUCCAACUUUAGAGAUCUAACUACAAGAAGACAAGUAGUCUGAUAUGAGAUGGAUUUCUUACUUUUCUCGUAGAUAUAGACUAGGCUAAGGGAUGGACUUCAUCUCUUCUGUUCUCUUUACUUGCACCUUAAACUAUUAGAGAGUCUAAUGAGGCUCAGGUGCAGUGUGUUCCACUGUAGACUAAGACUACGCAAAGCUAUUUCCAGUGCUUCGGAA